AUUGAACGCUGGCGGCAGGCCUAACACAUGCAAGUCGAGCGCGCGGCGGACGGGUGAGUAAUGUAUGGGGACUGCCCGCUCGAGGGGGAUAACUACUGGAAACGGUUACUACUACCGACUACUAUCUGAUCACCCCGAUGGGAUUAGCUAGUAGGUGGGGUAAAGGCUCACCUAGGCGACGAUCUCUAGCUGGUCUGAGAGGAUGAUGAGCCACACGGGGACGGGGACACGGCGCAGAGGCCGACGGAGGCAGCAGUGGGGAAUAUUGCACAAUGGGCGGAAACCUGAUACAUCCAUUGCGCGUGUAUGAAGAAGGCCAUAGGGGUGUAAAGUACUUUAAUCGGGGAGGCGUUACCAACAGAAUAAGCACCGGCUAACUUCGUGCCAGCAGCCGCGGUAAUAC
rnacentral:rRNA from 1 species